rnacentral:rRNA from 1 species
UAGGGAAUAUUGGGCAAUGGGCGCAAGCCUGACCCAGCGACGCCGCGUGAGGGAUGAAGGCCCUCGGGUUGUAAACUGCUUUUGUACGGAACGAAAAGGCUUUUUCUAAUACAGGGAGCUCAUGACGGUACCGUAAGAAUAAGCACCGGCUAACUACGUG